GCCGACAGACCGCCGAACGGACAGGAUUUUUCCUGUACCGCGGACAGUCUCCCCUGUACAUUCAAGGCGUCGCAAUCAAUACAAUGUACAAAGUUCCAACCAGGAACACAUUUCAAUCAAAGAUUGCAUAAUGGAAGUAUCAAAACAUAACACAUCCUAUGUUAUUACAUGCAUUCACAUUCAUAUAUUUUUACAUCACAAUUCUCAUUUGAUUCUUACACUAGCUUUCACUUAACUUCCAAAUACAAUCCGAUUCAACAUAAUUAUUACAACUUGAUUCUUUUUAUUCUUUACAUCCCUAAGCAAAGCCGACUCGG
rnacentral:lncRNA from 1 species